AAGAAAGAAAAGGAAAAAAAAAAGAGAAGAAGAAACAGAAAACACGAGUCAUCAAAAUCGGCCAGAGAGAAGGGGCAGCUUUCUGGAGAACCUCAAGACCAGCCUUGAUCUUAUUGGAGGAGUGCGGGAGGCAGGAGAGCCUCCAAGAGGAUGGUCAAAGAUGGAAUGUCUCAUUUCCAGUCCUUCUCAGCCCUUAAACACCUCAGCAUGAUCACAUCAUUACAGCACACUAAAUAUGUGUGAACUAGGGAACUACUGCACCACCCUGCUAAGUACUAAGUAUAUAUGGGAGCAAGAGAACCACUGCACCACCCUGCUAAGUACUAAGUGUAUGUAUACUAGAGAACCAUCAUCUCAUCAGUCCCACUGAGUUAACACCUUGUUGUAAGUAUCCUUGCUUCAAGUAGACUUCUCCAGAGUUCUGGCCCUCUACAUUUUUCUUUCUUUUUUUUUAAAGAAAAAAUCCUUUGUUACAAGGAAUUGGCUUUCCAGAGAAAGAGAUGCAAACUAAGUGAUAUAAAAAAUAGCAAUAAUUUAUUUUUUUAAGGAAAAGGAACAAAAUGAGCCUAACGAGUCCAACAGGCUAGCCAGACUAAUUCAUGCUCAUCUCAAUGCUGUUUUCAAAGCUUUUUAGCAAGAAGCAGCCCUUGUCUCCUCAGACCUGUCCCGUAUCACCAGAUGCCAACGGAUGUCCAGUCAACAUCAAAACUCAACAAGACCAAAGGUCAACUUAAGGUCUUUCCCUGCAAACUACCUUGAUCUGCCUCGGUGAAAUUAGGUUGACUUUCUGUGAUUGUUUCCUUUGUUAACCAUCUCUUUACAUAGUAAAUGCUUACUAACCA